GAUGAACGCUGGCGGCGUGCCUAAUACAUGCAAGUCGAGCGAACAGACGAGGAGCUUGCUCCUCUGACGUUAGCGGCGGACGGGUGAGUAACACGUGGAUAACCUACCUAUAAGACUGGGAUAACUUCGGGAAACCGGAGCUAAUACCGGAUAAUAUAUUGAACCGCAUGGUUCAAUAGUGAAAGACGGUUUUGCUGUCACUUAUAGAUGGUUCCGCGCCGCAUUAGCUAGUUGGUAAGGUAACGGCUUACCAAGGCAACGAUGCGUAGCCGACCUGAGAGGGUGAUCAGCCACACUGGAACUGAGACACGGUCCAGACUCCUACGGGAGGCACCAGUAGGGAAUCUUCCGCAAUGGGCGAAAGCCUGACGGAGCAACGCCGCGUGAGUGAUGAAGGUCUUCGGAUCGUAAAACUCUGUUAUUAGGAAAGAACAAAUGUGUAAGUAACUAUGCACGUCUUGACGGUACCUAAACAGAAAGCCACGGCUAACUACGUG
rnacentral:rRNA from 1 species